rnacentral:sRNA from 1 species
CGAUGGACGGUCGGGUGCAGCUGAUAAAGGCCCUCCUGGCCUUGCCGAUCCGGCCUGCGACGCGUCGCUGGAGGAACCCGAUUCCCUUUCCCGAGACGUUUGACGGCGAUACCGACCGACUCCCGGAGUUCAUCGUGCAGACGGGCUCCUACAUGUUCGUGGACGAGAACACGUUCUCCAGCGACGCCCUGAAGACCUGCGCUGCCACAGCCAUCGCCAUCCAUCGCAUCCCACCGACAGACUGCUGCUCCUAGUGAUCUGGACUCACCUCGGAGGUAUCUGGGCUGGCCACAGUCCCUGGACAGUGAUCCAGACAGCUGGCCGCCCCCCAAGGGAUCUGUCACCUUCAGCGAGACCUAUUUCCUCCCCACCCCCAGAAACCUCUUGUGUUCUUGCCUAGGCCCAGGUGUGCCUGGCAGCCAAAUCGAGUCUCUCAUUUUCUCUUGUGGACCAGUUAGUUUUGCCCAUAACCCAGUAUUCUGAGUUUGCAACUGUCUCUCUGAUGUGUGCCUUUUGUUCAACACAGUAACCCCUGCAUUCUGCUCUGCUCUAAUACACUACCUGGAGAAAGUCUUUUCCUUAUUUUCAAUAAAUGUCAGACAUUAUUGAAAAGAAA